ACUAAAUUAGAGAUGGAGCUGGACCAACAAACCACUGAGCUUGCUUCAAGUACAGGUGUUCCAGGUGCAGUCUUUGGAUACUGAUGAAGAUUUACUGCCCUACAAGAUCUUCCUCAACUGCAUAGUCUGGAGCAAAGGAUGCAACAGAGCUCGGAUUGCAAGCAAAAACUGGGCGGAUGUGCUUGACUGCACUUGGCGCAUAUUGAAGAGGGUGAUUGCUAAUUCCCUGGCAAAGAACCUCAAUUGGAGAGGAGUCAAUGGAAAGACUUCACUGGCCACUCUCCAACUUGGAGAGGUCAUGAUUGAAACCUCUUCACAGCUAAUGCUGCAGAGAUGGAGGUUGAGGGGACCAUGAAGAGGUGG